AUAUUUGGGCAGUCUUAAGCCCCAUGAGUGUCACAAAAUACAUCCUGGCCACUAUCAACACAGACGAAACAAGUGCAAUAAUACCAUAUAUCUCAAUGAACAAAGAAGGAUUGAAGGACAUGGCACGAUCUGCUGAAGUUUCAUAUGCCAGCCAAUAAUCACUUGCCAUUAGAGAACCUUGCCACAAGAAAGAAAACAACAAAACUAACACCACACCCCACCAUCCAAAAGCUUCAGUAACAUAUUG
rnacentral:misc_RNA from 1 species